GCGUAGGGGGCGAGCGUUAUUCGGAAAUACUGGGUGAAAAGGGGAAGAAGGCGGCCCUUCAAGUCGCGUGUCAAAGUCCAGUGCUCAACGCUGGGGGUGCGCGCGAUACUGACGGGCUUGAGGGCUGGAGAGGUGAGCGGAAUUCCCGGUGUAGUGGUAAAAUACGUAGAGAUCGGGAGGAACACCAGCGGCGAAGGCGGCUCACUAGACAGUUUCCGACGCUAAGAUACGAAAGCGUGGGGAGCAAACAG
rnacentral:rRNA from 1 species